UAAACUUUCCCCCAUAAAGCUAGGGCACAGUCUUCCACAAAGAUACAGAGUUCCCGGGACUGAAGGGGAGAGCUGAUGUUUUCUCUUUUCUAGUGGUGUCCUAAUGAUACCCCAGGUACAGCAUCUCCGGUGGGCGAGUGAUUCAGCUGGGCUCUCUGGGCCUGCUUCUCUCAGUAGCUCAGCUCCCAAGUGAUAAAGCGAAUUCUUCUUGAAUUACUGGUUAAAUCUCUUCUGUGCUGCCAGAGGGGAUGGGCCAAUGAAGACCCAGCCUUUGGAGCACCUGCAAAAGACCCACAUGGAUGCUUGGGGAAUUUUGAAAAUACAUUUGAUGAUAUCGCUUCCAGCCCAAUCUCCCAUUUGGGAUGUGGAGAACCUCUGGCGCAAAGAGAAACAACCUUCCCUUUGACCUCAGGUCUUCCAUCUUCUGCUGAGCCUGUCCCUUGAGGGAAGAGGAAGAGGAAAGUUGGCCCUGCCCAGCCAGAAGUGUGAAAUUAUGAGCAAAGAGUGAAGGAUGGGCAGAGGGCAUGGCUGUGAGCAGAGAAGAGUAAGAAGCCGACAGUGACAUCUAAUGCAAAAUUAAUUUCAUUGUCACAUGAGGUCCUGUUCCUGAAUUUCUGGAUUCCAAACUAUGCCUUCUCUACUGCUGACUUGUUUUGGAGCGUCUCUCAAAGCCUGGGACCUCCUUGCCCUGGAACAGUCUACCUUCCCUCUGGCCCAGUCACCUUGGAACACCCUCUGCAAGGCCAACCCCUUCCUCCCAUUGGUGAGCUCCUCUAGGAGCCUCCAUUUUAUGGAAGGGCCCAUGCCAGCCUGCCUUCAUUCUUCUGUUCGUGAUUUUCUGGAUUUCAAAACCAUGUCCCCUCACCGGGCCCUUUCCUCUCCUCUCCUUCUCCCCACUAGAAUGAAUCCAUCAUCAGAGACUAUGCUGAAGACUCAAACAAUGGCAGUCUAAAUUGUCCUGCAGUGAUGCUAAGUAGCUGGAACUAAUUCAGAAAUGUAUGUGGAGCAUGAUUAGGGUAACUUAGUGUGUGGGGGAGACCAUCUCACCUGACUCUGUCAUUUCUCAACCCACAACAAAUGCUGUUUGGCCCAAAAUGACAUAGAAAAUAAAGUAACCUCGUUAUAAAUUACACCUA